UGGGGAAUAUUGGGCAAUGGGGGGAACCCUGACCCAGCAACGCCGCGUGAAGGAAGAAGGUUUUCGGAUUGUAAACUUCUGUCCUUGGUGAAGAGGAAGAGACGGUAGCUGAGGAGGAAGCCACGGCUAACUACGUGCCAGCAGCCGCGGUAAUACGUAGGUGGCAAGCGUUGUCCGGAAUUACUGGGUGUAAAGGGAGCGCAGGCGGGCGUGCAAGUCAGCUGUGAAAUCCAUGGGCUUAACCCGUGGGCUGCAGUUGAAACUGUAUGUCUUGAGUGAAGUAGAGGUAGGCGGAAUUCCGAGUGUAGCGGUAAAAUGCGUAGAUAUUCGGAGGAACACCGGUGGCGAAGGCGGCCUACUGGGCUUUAACUGACGCUGAGGCUCGAAAGUGUGGGGAGCAAACAGG
rnacentral:rRNA from 1 species